CCUACGGGUGGCUGCAGUGGGGAAUAUUGCACAAUGGGGGAAACCCUGAUCCAGCGACGCCGCGUGAGUGAAGAAGUAUUUCGGUAUGUAAAGCUCUAUCAGCAGGGAAGAAAAUGACGGUACCUGUUUAAGAAGCCCCGGCUAACUACGUGCCAGCAGCCGCGGGAAUACGUAGGGGGCAAGCGUUAUCCGGAUUUACUGGGUGUAAAGGGAGCGUAGACGGCAGCACAAGUCUGGAGUGAAAUGCCGGGGCUUAACCCCGGAACUGCUGUGGAAACUGUGCAGCUAGAGUGCAGGAGAGGUAAGUGGAAUGCCUAGUGUAGCGGUGAAAUGCGUAGAUAUUAGGAGGAACACCAGUGGCGAAGGCGGCUUACUGGACUGUAACUGACGCUGAGGCUCGAAAGCGUGGGGAGCGAACAGGAUUAGAUACCCCUGUAGUC
rnacentral:rRNA from 1 species